rnacentral:rRNA from 1 species
CACGUAGUUAGCCGGGGCUUCUUCUGGCGGUACCGUCACCCUCUGGGCUAUUAACCCGAGUGGCUUCGUCCCACCUGAAAGAGGUUUACAACCCUAAGGCCUUCUUCCCCCACGCGGCGUCGCUGCGUCAGGCUUUCGCCCAUUGCGCAAGAUUCCCCACUGCUGCCUCCCGUAGGAGUCUGGGCCGUGUCUCAGUCCCAGUGUGGCUGAUCGUCCUCUCAGACCAGCUAUGGAUCGUCGCCUUGGUGGGCCAUUACCCCGCCAACAAGCUAAUCCACGCGGGCUCAUCCUCGAUCGGAGGCCGAAGCUACCUUUUCUUCGUGCCCGAGAGCUCGAAAGGCUAUCCGGUAUUAAUCCGGGUUUCCCGGGCUAUCCCAGAAUCGAGGGCAGAUUACCCACGUGUUACUCACCCGUUCGCCGCUGUCCCCGGGACCGAAGUCCCGGUUCUCGCUCGACUUGCAUGUGUUAGCGCGCCGCCAGCGUUCGUCCUGACGCCAGGAUCGAAACUCUA